UGGGGAAUUUUGGACAAUGGGGGAAACCCUGAUCCAGCCAUCCCGCGUGUGCGAUGAAGGCCUUCGGGUUGUAAAGCACUUUUGGCAGGAAAGAAACGUCAUGGGUUAAUACCCCGUGAAACUGACGGUACCUGCAGAAUAAGCACCGGCUAACUACGUGCCAGCAGCCGCGGUAAUACGUAGGGUGCAAGCGUUAAUCGGAAUUACUGGGCGUAAAGCGUGCGCAGGCGGUUCGGAAAGAAAGAUGUGAAAUCCCAGAGCUCAACUUUGGAACUGCAUUUUUAACUACCGGGCUAGAGUGUGUCAGAGGGAGGUGGAAUUCCGCGUGUAGCAGUGAAAUGCAUAGAUAUGCGGAGGAACACCGAUGGCGAAGGCAGCCUCCUGGGAUAACACUGACGCUCAUGCACGAGAGCGUGGGGAGCAAACAGG
rnacentral:rRNA from 1 species